GUACACACGGAUAACAUACCGAAAGGUAUGCUAAUACGAGAUAAAAUACUUUUAUCGCAUGGUAGAAGUAUCAAAGCUUUUGCGGUACAGGAUGGACCCGCGUCUGAUUAGCUAGUUGGUAAGGUAACGGCUUACCAAGGCGACGAUCAGUAGCCGACCUGAGAGGGUGAUCGGCCACAUUGGAACUGAGACACGGUCCAAACUCCUACGGGAGGCAGCAGUGGGGAAUAUUGCACAAUGGGCGAAAGCCUGAUGCAGCAACGCCGCGUGAGCGAUGAAGGCCUUCGGGUCGUAAAGCUCUGUCCUCAAGGAAGAUAAUGACGGUACUUGAGGAGGAAGCCCCGGCUAGCUACGUGCCAGCAGCCGCGGUAAUACGUAGGGGGCUAGCGUUAUCCGGAAUUACUGGGCGUAAAGGGUGCGUAGGUGGUUUCUUAAGUCAGAGGUGAAAGGCUACGGCUCAACCGUAGUAAGCCUUUGAAACUGGGAAACUUGAGUGCAGGAGAGGAGAGUGGAAUUCCUAGUGUAGCGGUGAAAUGCGUAGAUAUUAGGAGGAACACCAGUUGCGAAGGCGGCUCUCUGGACUGUAACUGACACUGAGGCACGAAAGCGUGGGGAGCAAACAGGAUUAGAUACCCUGGUAGUCCACGCCGUAAACGAUGAGUACUAGCUGUCGGAGGUUACCCCCUUCGGUGGCGCAGCUAACGCAUUAAGUACUCCGCCUGGGAAGUACGCUCGCAAGAGUGAAACUCAAAGGAAUUGACGG
rnacentral:rRNA from 1 species